AUUUUGAAGGAAGUUUUCGGAUGGAAUUUGAAAUGACUGAGCGGCGGACGGGUGAGUAACGCGUGGGUAACCUGCCUCAUACAGGGGGAUAACAGUUAGAAAUGACUGCUAAUACCGCAUAAGCACACAGUACCGCAUGGUACAGUGUGAAAAACUCCGGUGGUGUGAGAUGGACCCGCGUUUGAUUAGCUAGUUGGUGGGGUAACGGCCUACCAAGGCGACGAUCAAUAGCCGACCUGAGAGGGUGACCGGCCACAUUGGGACUGAGACACGGUCCAAACUCC
rnacentral:rRNA from 1 species